ACUGCUCAGUAACACGUGGAUAACCUGCCCUUGGGUCCGGCAUAACCCCGGGAAACUGGGGAUAAUUCCGGAUAACGCACAUAUGCUGGAAUGCUUUAUGCGUAAAAUGGAUUCGUCUGCCCAAGGAUGGAUCUGCGGCCUAUCAGGUAGUAGUGGGUGUAAUGUACCUACUAGCCAACAACGGGUACGGGUUGUGAGAGCAAGAGCCCGGAGAUGGAUUCUGAAACAUGAAUCCAGGCCCUACGGGGCGCAGCAGGCGCGAAAACUUUACAAUGCGGGAAACCGUGAUAAGGGGACACCGAGUGCCAGCAUCAUAUGCUGGCUGUCCGGGUGUGUAAAAUACACCCGUUAGCAAGGGCCGGGCAAGACCGGUGCCAGCCGCCGCGGUAACACCGGCGGCCCGAGUGGUGAUCGUGAUUAUUGGGUCUAAAGGGUCCGUAGCCGGUUUGGUCAGUCCUCCGGGAAAUCUGACGGCUCAACCGUUAGGCUUUCGGGGGAUACUGCCAGGCUUGGAACCGGGAGAGGUAAGAGGUACUACAGGGGUAGGAGUGAAAUCUUGUAAUCCCUGUGAGACCACCUGUGGCGAAGGCGUCUUACCAGAACGGGUUCGACGGUGAGGGACGAAAGCUGGGGGCACGAACCGGAUUAGAUACCCGGGUAGUCCCAGCCGUAAACGAUGCUCGCUAGGUGUCAGGCAUGGCGCGACCGUGUCUGGUGCCGCAGGGAAGCCGUGAAGCGAGCCACCUGGGAAGUACGGCCGCAAGGCUGAAACUUAAAGGAAUUGGCGGGGGAGCAC
rnacentral:rRNA from 1 species